GUGCAUCAGUGCUUCCGUUAGCUGCUAAUAAUCAGCUUUAAAUGUAUUUAAAAAUGAUGAAUAAAAGCUUGCCGGUUAAGAUGCCGGUACCAAUAAUAUGCAUAUCCUUAAACAGAACAUUGGUGUUUUAUUAAAAGCAAAUAAAUCAACAACGGAACUAUAUCUUAUUGAUUCAUCCGAGUCACAAAAUCCAGCCGCUUCCAACACCCUUUAGACAGCAGGAGAAAGCUUUUAUCCAAUCAUGUUUCAUUCUCCGAGAAGCUUCAGUCUAAGCUCCGCCCCCCAAAGCCUUCACCAGUAGUAGCAAUGAAUUAAAACCUUAAUUUUGAUUGUCCCAUCAUGGUGAUUAGAUUAGCUGAUUAAAUUGUUCUAUUUAUACGAGGAGGGAGUAAUCUGUCUGGGUUUGAUGGAAUGUGUGAUGGAAUGUGGCAGUACAUGCCAACAGAGUGCGAAGUGUGCGUGUGUGUGUGUGUGUGCGUGCGUGUGUGUGUGUGUGCUUAUUCCGGGGCAGUUCUGUUUGGCCAACCACAUUCUGCUGAUGUUGACAAAUAAUAAACGGUUAAUAGGAUAUAUCUCCUCUUGUCGUGACAUUGCGUUGAUAAAACUCUUGUGUAGUUAUAGGCCAUAAAUUAUGCUUUUCUAUACACAGUUCCGGAGACGGCCAUAGGGAUGAUUGACAGCUGUCAUUCACCCCACUUCUGCAUUCUAAGACAUUUAAACACAUAGUAUGCAUUAAGCAUGAAUAUUUAAAUGAAUAGUUGUCAUUAUCUUAGUAUGCUUAAAAAGUAUGCGGUAAGUAUGCAUUUAAACAGUUCUCAUUAUCUUAGUAUGCUUAAAAAGUAUGCAGUAAGUAUGCAUUUAAACAGUUCUCAUUGUCUUAGUAUGCUUAAAAAGUAUGCAUUUAAACAGUUCUCAUUAUCUUAGUAUUCUUAAAAAGUAUGCAGUAAGUAUGCAUUUAAACAGUUCUCAUUAUCUUAGUAUGCUUAAAAAGUAUGCAUUUAAACAGUUCUCAUUAUCUUAGUAUUCUUAAAAAGUAUGCAGUAAGUAUGCAUUUAAACAGUUCUCAUUAUCUUAGUAUGCUUAAAAAGUAUGCAGUAAGUAUGCAUUUUAAACAGUUCUCAUUAUCUUAGUAUGCUUAAAAAUAUGCAUUUAAACAGUUCUCAUUAUCUUAGUAUCCUUAAAAAGUAUGCAGUAAGUAUGCAUUUAAACAGUUCUCAUUAUCUUAGUAUGCUUAAAAAGUAUGCAGUAAGUAUGCAUUUUAAACAGUUCUCAUUAUCUUAGUAUGCUUAAAAAGUAUGCAGUAAGUAUGCAUUUAAACAGUUCUCAUUAUCUUAGUAUGCUUAAAAAGUGUAACAUUUUUCCUGGUA
ensembl:lncRNA